rnacentral:misc_RNA from 1 species
UCAUUAAAGAGAGAGUUCAAACUUAUUUUAAAGAUCUUUUUUUAUUAAAAGUUCUUUAUUUUGUGGUUCAGCAGCCAGCCGAAAAAUAUGAGAUAGUCCGUCAUUAAAGUAAAAAAUGGUUUGACAUUUUAGUACUCUUUUAUCUAAUAUAUAUACUACACACUUUUUAUCUCUAUAGGAGAUAAUAUUUUUAUUUGAACUGAUAAAAGCAGUUAAUUGUGACUGGUACGAGAGAGGCCACACAUUAAUCUGUUGUGCACUUAAUGUGUUUGUUGGUACGAGAGAGGCCAUACCUACACAUAUAUAUAUAUAUUUAAACUGAAAAAUACAUUUAUAAUCUCUAUCCAAUAAAUGUGGGCUUGGGACACCCACGGAUAGGCGUGUAUACAUGUGUGGGAGCGACAUGUAUACACAAAGUGCAUAUUCUAUCCAAAAAAAAAAGAACGAAAGAAAGAACGAAAGAAAUAUGUGGACUUGGGGAACCCACUGGAUAGAAUUUUGUAUACAUGUCCCGGGGAGCAUGUAUACAAAAGUGUGUGUAUGUGUAUAGUUGAAAUGAGGAAAGAAAGGAAAAUCAUAAUAUUUAAUGACCAAGGCUAUUAAGUAUGGAAUAGGAGCGGCUGAUCCACAUUUAUAUAAGCGAAUUGUAAUCCAAUAAUUGGAUUACAAUUAGGCGUUCUUAAUAAUAUUAAUGUGCCUUUAUUGGUACUUUAAUGUUAUUAUUUUAAAAUUCGAAAAGUUAAUAAUUUGAAAAAUUUAUCUUAUUACCCUGAGCGGCGGAUCACUCGGCUCGUGGGUCGAUGAAAGACGCAGCAAACUGCGCGUCGUCAUGUGAACUGCAGGACACAUGAACAUCGACACUUUGAACGCACAUUGCGGCCCUGGGAUUCUAUCCAAGGGCCACGCCUGUCUGAGGGUCGUUAAUAAUAAGAAAUUUUUUUAUUUUUUAAAUAAAAAAUUUCUUUAAAUUUUAUAUAUAUAUAUUUUAUAAUGUAUAUAUAUAUUGGAAAUUUUCUGUUGUCUCGCGCGCAACAUUUAUUUGUUGUGUGUGCAACAGUAUUUCUAAAUACACUUGUGUAUAUCCUUUCUUUUGGCUAAUAGUAUUUCUCUGAUAUACUUGGUUUUUUUUUCUCUUUUUAAAGCGCAUAGUUUCAAUAUGGAAAUUUGUUAUCUGGUAUAUUGGUAAUAAAAUUCUCAAGUAUAGUAGUGAAAUGUUUAACAAAGAAGGGGAAUUUUUUUCGCAUCUAGGCAAUGUCUGGGCGAUUUUUUCCCUUCCUGUAUAAAACAAUGAUCUACGAUUCCAUUUACUUUUGAGAGUUUAACCAAUUCCUAUUAUUAUAUAUAUCAGCUGUAUUUUUAAACUGCUAUGCAGAAAAAAAAAUAUAGUGUAAGUAGAUAUGUAAUAAUUACUCAGAUUUUCAAAUAGUACAUAUUGUAUCACAACUGUGUAAAAUAAAAAGGAUAUAAACCAGUUUUUGAGAAAUAUUUCAAUUGAAUGGCAACACAAAAACUUUUAUUUU